rnacentral:lncRNA from 1 species
AGGAAGACCACUGUUUGUAAAGUGCAAAGGUCUAUCGUGCUACCCUCAGUGUAUACUAUGGUUUUUAAUUCUUCGUCUUACGUUUUCUUAUAAUUUUGAUACUCAUGUGGCAUGAACAUCAUUCCUUACAAAGUUUUCUUAAAUUUUAACAAUGGAAUUCAGACUAUUCAACUGGCUUUUCAGGCUGAUGAAUUGUCUUUUUGAUACUUUUCAGCUACUUGGUGUAGCUGAAAAGCAUGCUUAGACAUCACUUUUUUAGGAAAAGUGUACCCGUGUAAUGUGGACACCACCUCUCCGUGAAAGCUUCUCAUAUCCAUUUCUUGUUCUUCAGAUGUUGCUAGUGACUCAUAUUCUCAGGGCUACAAAACUUUAUAGAGGAAGCUUGAUUGCACUCUGCAUUUCCAAUGUAUUUUUCAUGCUUCCUUGGCAGUUUGCUCAGUUUGUACUUCUUACUCAGAUUGCAUCAUUAUUUGCAGUAUAUGUUGUCGGGUACAUUGAUAUAUGUAAAUUACGGAAGAUCAUUUAUAUACACAUGGGUAUUCUGGCAAUGAAACCACAUUUCCUGAAAAUAAAU